GAUGAACGUUGGCGGCGUGCCUAACACAUGCAAGUCGAACGAGCAGUCGGAUUCUUCGGAAACCGGCGGGCUAGUGGCGCACGGGUGAGUAACACGUUGGUGACCUGCCCCGAAGCGGGGGACAACCACUGGAAACGGUGGCUAAUACCGCAUGUGCUUAAUCAUUCGUUUGGUUAAGUAUAGCUCAGGCGCUUCGGGAGGGGCCUGCGGUCGAUUAGUUAGUUGGUGAGGUAAUGGCUCACCAAGACGAUGAUCGAUAGGGGGCGUGAGAGCGUGACCCCCCACACUGGAACUGAGACACGGUCCAGACUCCUACGGGAGGCAGCAGUGAGGAAUAUUGCACAAUGGGCGCAAGCCUGAUGCAGCAACGCCGCGUGGGGGAUGAAGGCCUUCGGGUCGUAAACCCCUUUUCUGUGGGACGAGAAAGGACGGUACCGCAGGAAUAAGUCUCGGCUAACUACGUGCCAGCAGCCGCGGUAAAACGUAGGAGGCGAACGUUAUCCGGAAUUACUGGGCGUAAAGCGCACGCAGGCGGCCCUGCAAGUCCGACGUGAAAGCUCCCGGCUUAACUGGGAGAGGCCGUUGGAUACUGCAGAGCUUGAGGUUAGGAGAGGGAAGCGGAAUUCCCGGUGUAGUGGUGGAAUGCGUAGAUAUCGGGAGGAACUCCAGAGGCGAAGGCGGCUUCCUGGCCUACACCUGACGCUGAGGUGCGAAAGCGUGGGGAGCGAACAGGAUUAGAUACCCUGGUAGUCCACGCUGUAAACGAUGUGAACUAGGUGUUGGUGG
rnacentral:rRNA from 1 species